GAUCGAUUAGCUCAGUUGGUUAGAGCGCCACAUUGACAUUGUGGAGGCCGCAGGUUCGAGUCCUGCAUCGAUCA
rnacentral:tRNA from 1 species